rnacentral:rRNA from 1 species
UACGAAGGGGGCUAGCGUUGCUCGGAAUUACUGGGCGUAAAGCGCACGUAGGCGGAUUGUUAAGUCGGGGGUGAAAUCCUGGAGCUCAACUCCAGAACUGCCUUCGAUACUGGCGAUCUCGAGUUCGGGAGAGGUGAGUGGAACUGCGAGUGUAGAGGUGAAAUUCGUAGAAUUAUUCGCAAGAACACCAGUGGCGAAAGGCGGCCUCAGCUG